GACGAACCGUGCGAACGUUGUUCGGAAUCACUGGGCUUAAAGGGCGCGUAGGCGGGCUAACAAGUCUGGAGUGAAAUGCCGCGGCUCAACCGUGGAACUGCCUCAGAUACUGUCGGCCUCGAGGAAGGUAGGGGCAUGCGGAACUGUAGGUGGAGCGGUGAAAUGCGUUGAUAUCUACAGGAACUCCGGUGGCGAAAGCGGCGUGCUGGACCUUUUCUGACGCUGAGGCGCGAAAGCUAGGGGAGCAAACGGG
rnacentral:rRNA from 1 species